AUGAGGACAUUAUUCCAGUCCCUUCUCGACUUGCACCUAAAGUAUUUCAGUGAACAAUUUUAGACUUGCAAUAAAAUCUCGAUUAAGUUUAUGAAGUUUGAUGCAGGUUCCAAAUUAUGCAAUCAACUAGGUUAUUAGAUCUUACAUGGAUUGUAUUUUUGAUUCCCUCUAAACGUGGUUUAAUAGAGAAUAAAUUCAAUACAUAGUCUUUAGAUUUUGCCUAAACAUGACUUAAUGACUAAGAAAUUCAACACAAGCCAGAAAAAAACGACUAAACGACACAUGGCCUGAACGCAAAAUAAAUGAAUACUACUACAUACAUAUAUAUUCUCAAGACAUGCAUAAAGUCCAGAAUAUGCAUACUCCAAACUGUUUUUUCUUAGAGGAAAAAUCGAAAGGAAGGAAUAAAGUCAAUCGGAUGACUCACAUAUUUCAAGUUUCUUGGAAAUGUAACAUAAAAGCAUUAAUAAUUACAAAAUUCCACCUUAAGUUUCAAUUGUCUUCAUUUCAGCUAUGUAUAAAAUCACCUCAAGAAAAAAGAAAGUUUCAUUUAUGUUUGGUUGAGACUAAAUGACUUCAUAUAGGUCACAACUGAAGCGUUAUUCCACUUGUCUGAAUACUCCCAAGGACCAGAAAGUCAUUAGCAUCAAGAAUUUUCGAUUUCAGCAAUAUCAGCAAUUAUAUAUAGUUAAACAAAAAGAAGAAAAACAUACUUGGAAGAACAGAUUUCGAUUGCAAGCAUGGCCAUAAUGUUUUCUGCACUGGUUCUGUUGUUGCAUCUUCUAAUCUCUCGUAAGCCCGCAAAUUCUUGCCAUAUUUCUUAUUCAUUAAUUUAGCAAUAAGGUCUGAUAAAAAGGGACAUCGGUUGAAAUCUGAAUAGAUGCAUAUAUGUGAAAUUCCACUACAAUGUCGUUCUACACAUUGCAUUGUAUUACUAUUGUUCUCUCGUAUUCUCGAACAUAGUACGUUAAGAGGUAGAACUGACUUGUAUUUUUCGAUGCGCUAAUUCAAAUUUGCAGAUAAUGAAAAGAUGCACGUCGAAGCAAGAUUUUGCGAGGCACCAAGCAAGUUAUUCCACGGCGCUUGCUUCAGUGACAAUAACUGCGGUAAAAUAUGCGAGAAAGAAGGUUAUCUUUCAGGCAGAUGCAAGGGAUUAUCGUUCAAAUGUACAUGCUACAAAGACUGUGAUGUUCAUGGUGGUCAUGGCGGCGGCGGCCCCCCCUAUACCCCUCCCACAGGACCCCCUGACACCCCACCUGAAGGCCCCCCAUAUAACCCCCCUGAUAGCCCUCCAACUGGACCCCCUGAGGGGCCACCUUAUAACCCUCCUACAGGCCCCCCCGUAGGGCCACCGAUUAACCCUCCGAGUGGUUGUCCUAAUCCUCCCAUAAUUCCUAAUCCUCCGGCAGGUUGUCCUAAUCCUCCAACAUGUUGGCCUUAUCCUCCAAUAUGCUGCCCUAAUCCACCCGGAAUCCCUUUUCCUAUACCUCCAAUAGGUUGUUUUAUUCCUCCCGUCAUCCCAAUUCCUAAUCCUGGAAUUGGAUGUCCUACUACUCCCAUUAUAACAAUUCAGAAUCCUAGAACUAAUACUCCCCUAAUCCCUAUUCCUAAGCCUCCCACGGGCUACCGUAAUCCUCCCAUACCCCCCUUUCCUAGUCCUCCAACAGGCUGUCUUAAUCCUUCCGUAAUCCCAAUUCCUAAUCCUGGAACUGAUUGUCCUAAUCCUCCCGUGAUCUCAAUUCCUAAACCUCCAAAAGGUUUUCCUAAUCCUGGAAUUGAUUGUCCUAAUCCUCCCGUAAUCUCAAUUCCUAAACCUCCAACAGGUUGUCCUAAUCCUCCCGUAAUCUCAAUUCCUAAACCUCCAACAGGUUGUCCUAAUCCUCCCGUAAUCUCAAUUCCUAAACCUCCAACAGGCAGCCCUAAUCCCCCCGUAAUCUCAAUUCCUAAACCUCCAACAGGCUUCCCUAAUCCCCCCGUAUUCCCUAUUCCUAAACCUCCAAUUGGUUGCCCUAAUCCUCCAAUCAUAACAAUUCAUAAUCCUAGAACUAACAGCCCUAAUCCUCCUAUAAUCCCUAUUCCCAAACCUCCAACAGGCAGCCCUAAUCCUCCCACCAUCUCCAGUCCACCACCACCACCACCACCAACUGGUUGUGCUACGCUUUCCGGCAAACGUGUGAAAACUGAAAUGGCUUUAUGCUAGUGGGUGACUGAAUCCAACUGCAGAUUACAUUGUUAUGCAUCAUGUAUUUUAUUGUUCAUUGUUUUUGCACAAGUUCUUCAAUUUUUUAACAAUUAUACGUCUGGAACGUGUGUUUUGGUAAUUACAGAAACCUAGUAUCAAAUUGAGUAUGCAGAAGUAGCAAUUCAACAAAAAUGAAGUCUUUUUACCUCAAAAAAAAAAAAAAAUCAUAAUUUGAAACGAUCGUAAAAUACAGAAAUUGCGAUUCAACAUUUAAUAAUUACCUCGUUUGAAGACAUAAUGUACAAUCUUCGCAAUCUCGAUCGCCAUAAUGUAUUCAUCCAACAACAAUUCCAGAACCAAUUUUUUUUUUUUUUUUUUACUUCGAUGAAGAAAAAUAAAACAAUUAAAUAAAAAACCUACUGUGGGCCGAGUUGAAUCAAAUUUCAAAC
rnacentral:lncRNA from 1 species